AUGCGUUUUAGGGGCGGAGUCUGGCGGAGGGGGCGUGGCCGAGGGGGCGUGGCUUCGGCCGCCGCUGACCACGCCCCCCGCGCACGCCGUGGGCGGGGCCUGCGGCAGUUCGUGAUGCCAUUGGUCAGCGCCCGCUCGGCUCGGCCAAUCAGGCCCCCCCGGCGCUUCGCGGACACGCCCAUCCCGGAAGUGGCUCGGGAGACUCCCGGGGAGCCCCAAAAUUUCAGUUUGGAACCCCAAAAUUCCAGUUUGGAACCCCAAAAUUCCAUUUUAGAACCCCAAAAUUCCACCCAGGAACCCCAAAAUUCCACCCGGGAACCCCAAAAUUUCAGCCGGGAACCCCAAUAUUCCAUCCGGGAGCCCCAAAAUUCCACCCAGGAACCCCAAAUUCCAUCAUGGACACCCCAAAAUUCCACCCGCGAACCCCAAAAUUCCAUUUUAGAAUCCCAAAAUUCCACCCGGGAACCCCAAAAUUCCAUCCGGGAACUCCAAAAUUCCACCCGGGAGCCCCAAAAUUCCAGCCGGGAACCCCAAAAUUCCACCCAGGAACCCAAAAUUUCAUCAUGGACACCCCAAAAUUCCACCCGGGAACCCCAAAAUUCCAACCGGGACCCCCAAAAUUCCACCCGAGAACCCCAAAAUUCCACCCGGGAACCCCAAAAUUCCACACGGGAACCCCCAAAAUCCACCUGGGGACCCCCAAAAUCCUCCCAGGACCCCCAAAAUUCCACCCGGGACCCCACAAAUUCCACUCGGAACCCCACAAAUUCCACCCGGGACCCCCCAAAAUCCACCUGGGACCCCGAAAAUUCCACCCAAGACCCCCCAAAAUUCAUCCGGGACCCCCCAAAAUGCAUGUUUGACCCCCCAAAUUCCACUCAGGACUCCCCAAAAUCCAUCUGGGACACCCAAAAUUCCAAUCAGGACUCCCCAAAAUCUCUCCAGAACUCCCCAAAUUCCACCUGGGAACCCCCAAAAUCCACCCAAGACCCCCCAAAUUCCACCCCACACCCCCCAAAAUCCCUCCUGGACCGCCCAAAUUCCAACCAAGACACCCCAAAUUCCACCCGGGACCCCCCAAAAUUAAUCUGGGACGCCCAAAAUUCCAUCAUGGACCCCCCAAAUUCCACUCAGGAGUCCCCAAAUUCCACCCAAGACCACCCAAAAUCCACAUGGGACUCCCCAAAUUCCACCCAAAAACCCCCAAAUUCCAUCAUGGACCGCCUUGGGGACCCUCGGGACCCCCCAAAUUCCACUCGGGACCCCCCAAAAUCCUCCCAGGCCGCCCAAAAUUCCACCUGGGAUGCCCAAAAUUCCAAUCAGGACCCCCCAAAAUUCAUCCGGGACCCCCUUGGGGACCCUCAGGACCCCCCAAAUUCCACCCGGGACCCCCCAAAAUCCAUCCUAGGCCCCCCAAAUUCCAUCAUGGACACCCCAAAUUCCACCCCAGACCCCCGAAAUUCCACCCGGGACCCUCCAAAUUCCACCCAGGACCUCCCAAAAUUCAUCAUGGACCCCCCAAAUUUCACUCGGGACGCCCAAAAUUCCACCUGUAACCCCCCAAAAUCCACUCAGGACUCCCCAAAAUUCAUCCAGGACGCCCAAAAUUCCAAUCAGGACCCCCCAAAAUUCAUCCGGGACCCCCUUGGAGACCCUCGGGACCCCCCAAAUUCCACUCAGGACCCCCCAAAUUCCAUCUCGGACCCCCCAAAAUCCACCUGGGAUGCCCAAAAUUCCACUCGGGACCCCACAAAUUCCACCCAAGACCCCCCAAAAUCCACCCGGGACUUCCCAAAAUCCAUCUUGGACCCCCCAGAUUCCAUCAUGGACACCCCAAAUUCCACACGGGAACCCCAAAAUUCCACCCUGAACCCCCCAAAUUCCACUCAGGACCCCCCAAAAUCCACCUGGGACACCCAAAAUUCCAACCAAGACCCCCCAAAAUCUCUCCAGGACCCCCCAAAAUCCAUCCUGGACCCCCCAAAUUCCACCCGGAACCCCCCAAAAUUGCCACGGGAACCCCAAAAUUCCACCCAAAAACCCCCAAAUUCCACUCAGGACCCCCCAAAAUCCAUCGUGGGCCCCCCAAAAUCCUCCCAAGACCCCCCAAAAUCCCCUCAGGACCCCCCAAACCCCUCCCAGGCCCCCCCGCUCUGCCCCUCCCCCCGCCGGGCCCUCCUGAGGGCGCCGACCUUCCGCUGGGCCGGAUGUGACGUCAUCAGAAACGGCCGUGACGUCAUCAAAAACGGACGCGACGUCAUCCAAAAUGGCGGCGACGCCAUCCAAAAUGGCCGCGAGGUCACCGGAAGCGGCUGUGACGUCAUCAAAAAUGGCGGCGAGGUCACCGGAAGCGGCCGUGACGUCAUCAAAAAUGGCCCCGGCGACUCCAAACCCGCCUGUGACGUCAUCGACCUCACCGAUGACGUCACCGAGCCCGCCCGUGACGUCAUCAAAGCCGCCGCCGGUGACGUCAUCAAAGCCGCCGGUGACGUCAUCAACGGCGGCCCCGCCCUCUCCCGCGCCCCCGCGCUGACCUUCGACCCCCGCGUGACCUUUGACCCCCGGCUGACCCUGCGGCUGCUGCAGGUGACCCUGGCCCAGCCCCGGCUGACCUUUGACCCCGCCGCCUUCCGGCCACGCCCCCUCCUCCUCAGCCAAUCGCCGAGCGCCGUGGCGCAGGCCCUGCCCACUUCCGCCAUGGGCCGGCCGCCGGCAGGAAGUGACGUCGCCGCGGCAGGAAGUGACGUCGCCUCGACAGGAAGUGAGGUCACCGUGGUCAGAAAUGGCGACGGGGCGGGCGGUGACGUCACGGGGCGGGGCGAUGACGUCACGGGGCGGGGCGAUGACGUCACCGGGCGCGUCUUCGACCUCCUGAGCCGCGCCCGACAGCAGCUCGGCCGCAUCGACCGCCGGCAGCGGGCGGGGUCGGAGGAGCCUGAGGAGCCCCCGGGGGAGCCCCAGGGGUCCCCCCGGAUCAAACACGUCUGCAGGAGAGCGCCGCCCCCCGAGCCGGGGACCCCCCCUGAAGGUGAGAGACCCCAAAAAAUCCCCAAAAUCCACCCCAAAAUCCACCCCAAAAAUCCCCAAAAUCCACCCCAAAAAACCCCAAAAUCCACCCCAAAAAUCCCCAAAAUCCACCGCAAAAAAUCCCAAAAAUCCAACCCAAAAACCCCCAAAAUCCAGCCCAAAAAUCCCCAAAAAUCCCCAAAACCCACCCUAAAAAUCCCCAAAUCCACCCCAAAAAACCCCAAAAUCCACCCCAAAAAAUCCCCCAAAAUCCAACCCAAAAACCUUCAAAAUCCAACCCAAAAAUCCCCAAAAUUCAUCCCAAAAAAUCUCCAAAACCCCCCCCAAAAACCCCCAAAAUCCACCCCAAAAAUCCCAAAAUCCACCCUAAAAAAUCCCCAAAAUCGACCCCAAAAAAUCCCCAAAAUUUACCCCUAA
rnacentral:lncRNA from 1 species